GUUGGACCCCCCUUAUUUUGGACCGGGGGUCCAAGCGCUCGCGAGUAGUUGGACCCCCCUUUAGUGUAGUUGGACCCCCCCGCUUGCGCAGCCAGCACUAAGUCAGGUCGCAAUCACGCACUGACUUACCAGCUGUACUGCUAUGGAAGACUUUGAGUUGGUUUAUACCGAAAAUGAUGAGACUUUCGACACAUUUGAUGACCUUAGCAAGGAUGAAGAUACUGACAGUGAUACACAAAGGCUCUGACAUAGAUGCAGAUA